ncrna:unclassified sequences DTF2693-FD RNA
GCCCUACGGACGGAUUGAACGGCAGCCGAUAGCGAGAAUCGGGUAGGGU